AGGACGGCCUAGAGUCUGGAGCUGCAGAAGAGGCAGGGCGGAGAGGAGGGGAAAGAAGCAUCUGAACGGCUAAAUUGUGCCAGCAGCGCUGAGAGCGAGAGUCGCGCGGUGCCGUAAGGAAGGGAUGAGACGUUUUCCAGCACCAGCCAGAGCGUUCAGUGUUACGCGAAGAAUCUGUUCAAAAUGGUAUCGAUGUCUUCUCAGUGUCUCGUGAUGCUCAAGAGAUGCCCCCCGGCCCGGGUUUGCCUGCCGGUCGUUAAGCGUGGUGAAGGUAAGGGGCCAUCCCUCUGCCUGGGGGCUCCCGGCUCUGUCUCCAGCGGGUGCCCCGCAGGUGCGGCCGCGAGGGCUGCCUGGUGGGGAGAGUCGGGGCCCCCAGGGACCGGGGCUGUUUGUCGCCCCGGGGAGCCCAUCCCAGCGCGGGAGCGUGGCCGAGCAGAGCCCGAGAGAGAUGUGACACUGUCCUCUGGCACGCUCCCGCUCCGCCGUGGGGCGGCCGCUAGCCUGUGGACAGGGGCUGGGGGGGCUGC